rnacentral:rRNA from 1 species
GUCGAACGGAUUAUUUUUAUAGCUUGCUACGGAUUUGGUUAGUGGCAGACGGGUGAGUAAUGCAUAGGAAUCUACCUAGUAGUAUGGGAUAGCCACUGGAAAUGGUGGGUAAUACCGUAUAAUCCCCGCGGGGGAAAGAUUUAUCGCUAUUAGAUGAGCCUAUGUCGGAUUAGCUAGUUGGUGGGGUAAUGGCCUACCAAGGCAGUGAUCUGUAGCUGGUCUGAGAGGAUGAUCAGCCACACUGGAACUGAGACACGGUCCAGACUCCUACGGGAGGCAGCAGUGGGGAAUAUUGGACAAUGGGCGCAAGCCUGAUCCAGCUAUGCCGCGUGAGUGAGGAAGGCCUUAGGGUUGUAAAACUCUUUCAGUAGGGAAGAUAAUGACGGUACCUAUAA